rnacentral:rRNA from 1 species
UACGUAGGCAGCGAGCGUUGUUCGGAGUUACUGGGCGUAAAGAGUGUGUAGGCGGUGCUCUAAGUUUGGUGUGAAAUCUCCCGGCUCAACUGGGAGGGUGCGCCGAAAACUGGAAUGCUUGAACAUGGGAGAGGAAAGCGGAAUUCCUGGUGUAGCGGUGAAAUGCGUAGAUAUCAGGAGGAACACCUGCGGUGUAGACGGCUUUCUGGACCAUUGCUGACGCUGAGACACGAAGCGUGGGUAGCAAACAGG